AGGAUGCCUAUGAAAAUUAAAUCUCACCAAUAACUACCACCUGUUUCAUCUACGGUCACAGAAAGAUUUUCAUCAGGACCAAUACUUAAACUACAACUGUUACCUUCAAAGUUUUCAAAUAUAAUAAGGUUGCAUGACACAGCAUCAUUACACCCUAAGUGUCAGUCUGGAAAAAGGAUGUAGUUAAAAUAAGCUAUGCAGUUACCACCUCUUCUCCUGAACACUUCCUAGUCCACCUCUUAGUCCUAGUCCACCUAGUCCUCCACGUUGUUUUUUGCACACAUCUUUUAUAAUAUCAUCACAUGACUUCUCAAGAUUAACCAAGAAAUUAGAAUGAAUCAUGUUCACCUAUAAUAAAACACAUGUGGGUGUAUACACAGAUUCUGGGUUAUUUCUCCCCAGAGGCAAAAAGGCAACAAUGAAUUAAAUAAUGAAUGACUGAAAAGUACCUCAUAAAACUAACGUCAAUAACGUAGCAAAGUUUAUCAGCAUAACCUUUACAGAAGUACGAACAACUUUCAAUGAACUUGUAUAAGUUCUUUGCCAGGAAGAAAGACAUACACAAAGUAAACUAUAUUCAAUAUUUCUUUAUGCUUACUAAGUACCAAUUGUGAGAGACAGCAAUUUUGCCAGAAUAAAUCUUAAAUUUCUUGCAUUUGUGUAAUGAGAGGGAGAAAAAACAGUGAUUCUGAUGACAAGUCUUGGUAAGACCUAUGGAUGAGCAGAGAAGCCUUCUUCUUAAAUGUACUAGGAAAUUUAAAAGCUUCGAAGGGGCACUCUCCCAUUAAAAAUCAUCAGAAAUCCCUGAUUUCGUUAUAAAUCCUCAGAAAUCCUAAUUUCAUUAUAAAUCAUCAGAAAUCCCUAAUUUUAAAAGGAAAAGAGAGUCCCAUAACGCUUUGAAAAAAUGUGUAUUAGUUUCUAUAGUGGCAAAGGUAUUGAUUCAGCUUAACAUCAAUCUCCCAGUCAUAAAAUGUUCACACUGAGUUUGGAUCAUUAACUUUCAUUUUUAAGAAGUACACAAGACCCAAGUAAAGGGCUGACUGAAAAUUGCUCAACAACAACUUGCUGGUUCACAGAACGUGCUCCCUUUACACAGAAAUGUGAACAUACAAGAAAGUGCAACCUUAACCAGGAUGAGGACUAAACAUACUCUACUUUUCUUUAAGGGUAAAUCUAAUCCAUGUUUAUCAUCUUGCUCAAUAUAGAAAGCAAAGAAUUAUCAGUGGUUAUCACAGCUGCCAGACACAACCAAGUCACAGGUGACUAGUGGAGUUUAAAAUGUGGCAAUUGACACUGAACACUGUACCAAAAUAAAACACUCAUCACACUCUUACAAACAUGCAUAGAAGACUUCCCAAUUAAACAAAUACAAGGCUUCAAUCUUCGACAGAUCAACUUCUGCAGUGAAUCUUUUCAAUGGUUAGUGAACAUCUACAGGGGUUGGUGUAAUUCGUAUCCUCUUGUAGAAAACUGCUUGACUUUUAACAGCCGAAUGGAAUAAAAAACAAACAGAGGGUGGUAAAACUGUUCAGAUUCAGCUUGGAUAAAGCAGGCUGCAGCCACUGGCCUUACACUACUGCUUUGGAGAACUCAGAACUCGGCUUACUUUUAUGAUGCAGUGUGCUAAUAAACUUAGCUUCAAACUGAAGAACAGAAUAAUUUUAAUAGUACCCAAAGAUUCUCUAAAAUACAAAAUAGAAAAUGUGAGCUAGUCAUUACAUCAUAAAAAGACAUUUUGAAAACAAAUUAAUUUCAUCAUGAAAGGCUUUCAAUCACAAGUUGUUUCUAAAAAUAGCAAUGUUCAGAUGUAAGGGAGGAUAAUCUAGCAUGAAAAAGGCAAUUUCACCUUUAAUUUUUUUCAUUGUCUACACAACUCUUUACCUGCAGAAAACUGCGGGAAGGGGGAAGCAUCCCCCAAAACAUGCAACUUUAAUAACUGUUCACCUCUCCAAAGUGAUAGAUAAAAAGUUCCAAAUAGAUGCUUAUAAAAUAAAAUCCAUUCAAAUCUAAAAUAUUUAAUUUAUAAUGUUUUAAAGUUAACACCUCACUUUAAGACUAAAACACUAGGCUGAAUGUUACUUCUCAACAGAGACAAAAACUCGGGGGGGGGGGGGGCGACAGGAGAAUUCACCUGACUAGCAAUAGUUUACUUCCAAAGUUUAUCCUACCAUUAAAAAAAAAAAAAUCAAGCUAAUUAUUUUGAAAGACAAGAUAAUGCUGAGACUUUAAAUUGGUUGACAGCUCCUUUCUAAAGAAUCGCUUGUAAGGCUUUGAAUGAACACUAACUACACAGUAAAUUUGCUUACUAAAAUACAACUCGUAAAAUCGUUACAGAAGAUGAAUUAUGAAUCAGGAGUAACUUAACACCGGUGUUCAAAUUGGCAACGAGAACCUAAUAAUUUACCUUAGCUUGUCAAAUAGGGCUCGAGAGAAAGGGUUCUAACUAGGUCAAGUAUGCUCACAAGAAGGUGAGAGGAAAGGAGAGGGAAACCUGCCUUCCUCCACAGGCAAAAUUAAGUCAAAAGGGUCAUGCAUGAGAGUCAAUUCGAAGAGAUAGCUCAGAUCUACCAAGAGUGUGUUCGCAGCUAAGCGCUGGCUGCUGUGCUUUAGUCAGCCCCUCUUACAACAAUUCAAAGCCAGAGCUAUUUCCAGAUCUGGCACAAGUCUAGGGUAAAGUGUGGGGUCGCAUGGAGCAAGUCUGCCCAGCCACAACUUAACCAAAGGCCCUUGGGCCCGCUGUCACAGGAGGCUUCCCCGGGGUCCCCGCCAGCCACGCAGCUCCGCCCGCAGUCUCCCGGGUACCAGCCGGCUGGAUACUUGCCCUCACCCCACCCACAAGAUAGUCCAGAACUCUUCCCGCACUCCCGUUGCGUACUGCCAGAGCACCGGGCUGGAGCAGGGGUUAUCGGUCCGCCCGCUGCGCGCCACCGUGCCCCGCCAGGCCCGGAUGCACGAGCGCCGUGGAGCGCACGGGGCUCACACCACCGCGGGCACCGGCCGGUCACGUGGCCUCGGAGGGGCCGAGAUCCGCGUCCCGACUGUAGGAAGACGCCAUCAAAGAAACCGGCCGCGAUGAGCGCAUCCCGCAGGGGAAGGCCCACGGCCCGCACGGUCCGCGUGGGGGACCGGUGCGUUGCCAGGUGGGGGCCCGGAAGCACAGGCCUGAGGAGAAAUGAGACAUGGAAGAGACCCUAGGUCAACAAGCUGGGAUAAGCUUCCUCCCUCAGAAGUGUCUUCAGCCUGCCCCAGUCUGCUUUCUGUCUGGUGGAUUUCACUUCCUGUGCUUUCUGGCAAAUGCACUUCCUGUUUGGGAUGGAGAAACAUACCAGGGAACCUCCGGUGGUAUUUCAACUGCUUCAUGCUGCUUCUGUGGACUUGCACCGCAUCAGCAGAGCCUCGUGGUUUCUUCUGGAUCAAACAGCUGAUACUGAUUUGUGUUUGGUGAUUGCUGAGUGGACUGGACUACUGACAGUGCCCCCAAAGAACUACUUCUAAACAGGUCCAUAACCCCCAUUUCCUAUCCAUUUUUCUCUUUUCCUACCUCUGGUGGGUGGUAGGUUAGAAGAGAGGUUGAAUCAUUAAAGAACCAUAAUUAAAGAGGUUCUUGAAAAAUCUAACCCUACAAAUCUCAAAGGUGCCAGGUAUUCCAGAUGUGAACCUCUUUCCUGGAGUCCACCGCCCCCAGAUGUCCAUCAGUGUCUUUCUGGCUCCUCCUGGCUCCAGCUGACCUCAGAAGCUAAUGCUCUGAGCACAUCUCUAGCACGACAUUGAUGCUGUGCUUCAGCCUUUAAGGAGGAGAAAGCAUAGAAAGAUGCAAAAACUGGGACACUCAGUAUUAAAGAAGCCUGCUUUCAUCUCUGGGUCAGAAUAGAAGCAAAGCACCCGUAAUGACAAUAUAUGCCCAGCCUCAGAUUUUACUCUUGGAGUUUACAUUCAUGCCCAAAUUGCCCUUGUGAGAGAGGUGAAGACAGAAAAAUCCUGAUUCAAUUCAGCUCAGUUUUUGUGUGCAAAUACCCUUUCAUGGAAGACAUGUGUGCUUUUAUACUUUGGUCUCAUUCCCAAGUGUGGAGCUGUGCUUUAAAGCCUGGGGCAUGAGGAUGAGCCCAGGAUGUGUAAAUGUAUGAUUAAUUCAAAUAUCCUUGGCUAGUGAAUGCCUUUGGAGAUGACUGUCCUUGAGGUAAGUGACGAAAGAGUCAGAAUCCAUUGGGACUGGGAAAAGGCGAGGCAGAAAUGCUGCCACCAGAGUACAUCAGAUUGGAAGUCUAUUUUCCUGGAGACACACUGCUGUCUACUCUCUGGGACCCCAAGAAGAAACCCACCCGAAUUUGAACAAGCAAAUUUUCUUAUGUUUGCUGUGUCCAGAUGUGACCUCUUCCAGGACAGCUGUCAACUGUCCCAAGUUGACACCCAUGGCACCCAUGGCUCUCUUUCUCAUUCACAAAGGGUUGGUCUGUGUACAGCCUGGCCAGGAGCAUAGCAGUAUCUACCCACCACUCAUCUUAAAGAUAAGGAAAAUAGACUUGCUCUCUCUCCAGAUUCCUUACACUGUCAGCCUUUCAAGAACAAGGAGGAUGCCGGCCUGCAGUGGUGGUGGUGGUGGUGGUGGUGGUGGUGGUGGUGGUGGUGGUGGUGGUGGUGCAGCAUGCCUUUAAUCUCAACAGAGGCAGGUGGAUCUCUGUGAGUUUAAGGAUAGCCUGGUCUACAGAGCAAGUUCCAGGACAGCCAGAGCUAUGUAGAAAAUCCUUUUUCAAAAUAAAACAAAACACCAAAAAGAACAAAAAUAGGAGAUAUUAGACCCUUUGUCCAAAUAGAUGCAGUUAAGAUGAGGAGAGUAGGGGCCAGAACUCAGUGGAGGCUCAGCACAUGGCAUGGAAGGGUUUAGACAGAGCCAGAGUUGAUUGUAAAUUACAGGUCCAUUCUCUACAGCCAGGAAGCAGGAGUACUCUGGCGAGUGGAGCCAGGUCUUGUGCAUGCCUUUCAUGGUACCUUGGACACCUAGGGCUUCUAGUAUGCAAUUUGAACCAUGUACUGUCCCCAGAUGACAGCCUUUUUGGAUGCCAGGGCAGUGUUGUUCCCAGUCCCGGCUCCUGGAAACCCAGGACACAGUCAGGAACCUCCGGGGCUCAUGUGCUCUUUUAAACUCUCCAGAGAUGAGUGUACUUUGCCUGUCCCCAGCUUACUGUUGGACAUAUGGUCACAUUUCCCAACACAUGCCAGUUUCUAGGAGCAUAGAAAUUACUUUGCUAUCACGGUGCUCAAUUACGAAUAUAAAACAAUAUUUAAGAUCACAGCAUGAAUCUUGAAUGCUCCUCAAAGAUCCAUGUGUUAAACUCCUGCUCCAUAUAUUAAGUGAAAUAUUAAUCCAUUUUCAAAGGUGGUUAGAGUCAGCUUAGGGAUCCUUACAGAGAACCGAACACAAGCUACCUCCCAAUCUAUGCUAGCCUAGUCACCCCCAACCCAAACUAAACAUUCAGAUUAAAAAAUUAACAACCAUGCUUGCCUGUAAUGCCUGCGUGUGCCUGAUAAAAGUAAACAGGAUGCAAAGUGUUGGGGUGAACCCACAGGGUCUCUGUUAAGAAACAAACACAAGGAAGGCAAAAGAUAAGACCCAGACAACAUGCAAGAUAGUAUUCUCCUGAUGACUCAGUCAAUGAAGAGAGGGAAGAAGGGACCUACAUUAGGGCUAUAAAAACUGUGUUCUGUGUUCAAUCACUUUGACCUGAAGCCUUGCUUUGCAAAGCCAUAAAACAAGCUGCCUCCUUCCGUCUACUUGGAGUCUCCAGCGCUCUUACUGGGCAGUAAGCAUCCAAGUCUCACACAGUUCUAGCCAGUGGCACUACUGAACAUAACGGAUCCUUCAAGAGGUGUGACCUGGUGGAAGGAAGUGAGACAUUCUAGUUGUUUCCCACUGCUGUGCAGUCCACCAUGGUGUGUGGGGAGGGUCUAGGAGGGGUAAGGAUGGAAGCAGGAGCAUGAGGCGCCUGGUCACAUUGAAUUUCCAGUCAGGAAGAAGAGAGAAAUGAGUUCUGGUGUUGAGCUCCCAUUUAAUUCACCCUGGGACCCCAGGGCAUAGAAUGGAGACACCCACAUUUAGAGUGGAUCUUCCUACCUUACUUAACCCGGUCUAGAGAUUUCUUCACAGGCAUGAUAAGAAUUUUGUUUCCUACAUUAUUUAGAUCGUGUCAAAUUGACAAUAUCAUCCCAGUCAUGAGUUCAGACGAGGUGUCCUUCAAGACACUAGAUCUCCCCUCUUCCAUUCUAGAUCUCCUCUCUUCUCCUUUUGUCUUCAGGCUGCUACAACGUAAGUACCCCCCUCUGCCACAUGCUCUCAUUAGGCUAUGCUAUGCCUCUGCAAGCCCCAAAACAAUGGUGCCAACUAACUAUGGACUGAAACCACCCAGACUGAACCAAAGUUGAUUUCUCCUCUUUGAAUCUCAAGUUUUUUUCCAUAGUGAUAGAAAGUUGGUGGACAUACAUUCAUGGUCCCCUACUCUACUUCCUGUUGGUGGACACAUGUUCAUGGUCCCCCUACUCUACUUCCUGUUGGUGGACACAUGUUCAUGGUCCCCUGCUCUGCUUCCUGCCACUCCUUAUUUUCUGCCUUAGUAUCUGGACCCGUCCCAUGGGGGUGAGUAGGCUUGACCUCAGUGGUUGUUCUGAGCAUAGAAAGAGUUCCUUCCCGUGGCUGAAGAUUUGAGAAUCACCUAGUAACACAGUGGGUGUCUAGAGUAGGCCCAGGCACUUGAUGGACACUGCAGAGCCCAAGAAAGUCUCACUCACUUGACUCCUGCUUGUCCAGCAUGUCUUCUGAGUUCAUCAUGAGUUCUGUAGUUUCCUUUGCUCUCAUUCCAGGACCAGGACAGGUAAAGCAGGUCACCAGAGGAGGGGACAAAACGAAGGGUCUAAGAUUAGCACAUCAUGUUCAGCAUAGAUAUUGUAGCCAUUCCAAGCUGGGGCCUCUCCAUAUGGGAAUUCCCAUAACAAAGGGCUGGAAAGCCAAUCCUUCCUGAGAUGCAGAGAGCCCACAAUGGAUGUCAAUGCUAACUACUGCCAUGGUUCCUCAUUCCUAAGUCUUAGCUGGUUUUGUCCCAGAACAUCCAGCUGACCACUCCUAUCCUAAAGCAAAGAAAGAACUCCCUGGGCAUGAGUUCUCAAUAGGUGCUACAGUAUCUGGGCAUCAGGCUCUGGAAGAAAUCAAGCUUGCCUUUUCAUUUCUUUCCUUCUGGUUUUGGGCCUUCAACUCUGCUUUUGCAACUCUAUAGAAACUUAGAUAGAUCAGAUGCAGUAAGAAGAAAUACUGAGCAAGUGUGGCUUUGCAUAGCUCAGUCUUAGGGCUGUGUACAUUAGCUGUUUUGGAAAGCCCCCAACUGCCGUGCAUAUUAUUUAUUGAUCAAAGCCACUCUCUUUUCUCCUGCCCCAGAUAGGAACACAAAGACUGCAUUAUGUAGGCACUCGAAUGGUCUCCCGGCAGCAGCUCGUGUGCUGACAUUUGAUUUUAUGCUGGUGACAACAAGAUCAAGAAAGAGCUCAGAGUUUGCAAAUUUACAACAGAGGCUGUCUCAGAAGCAGGCUUCCCUCAUCAUACAGUGUGUGCUUAACUAAGCUUGUGGAAGAUGGGAUGUGUCUGGCUGUAAUUCCUUAAUCAGCGUGAUCAAGGCCUUAUGUCAUUCUGGUCCAGGUAAUUUGUCACGGGAAACCCAAUUGCUUUUCUUCCAUAAAUCAAAUUUGUACUUUGGAAAGGACGUAGUUUUCUCUAAAACUAACGUGACAUUUGGGGAAAGGACAACUCAGAGGAGAUGGGCUUCCCCAGGUAAUGCCAGUGUGGCAUGAUGCCUGGGGUCAGCAAAGAAGCAGCAGGGAAGCCAUCUAGGGGACGUCCACGCCAUAGAGGGCCUAACCAAUCUCAGUCAUCUGUCCCUGCCUUCUCUGGAUAUCUGUCUAAUCUGCAUGGCAGUCUGGUGGAUAUCGUGUCUCCAUGUCUUUCUUCCCUUUGCUAGUGCCUUCGUUGGACUGUUGCCCCACCAGUAGCAACACACAAGAUUCAUUAGUGCCAGAACUGCAUACAUAGGUGGUGAGUGGUUUAGUGAGUCUAUGGAGGGAGGGAAAGAGGAAGAGAAGGAAGGACAUUCAGUGAAUGGCUCUAAGAUAGACAGCAUCAAGGGAGUAAGGACAGCCAGGGAUGGCAACCAGCUCUGUGAUAUUCUUCUGAUGUUUUAAGUUCUAGUGACCAGCACAUUCAGUAUGUAGCCUUGUAAGACCUGGACCUUCCUUGGUGUUCCCAACUGAACAGUGGAUAAAGAUAGGCUGUGGAAAGGACUCAAGGCAUUAACACCAGUCUUAGAUGCAUGCCCAGCAUCUGUGACCAUCCCUGCUCUCAUUAACUAAGUGGUACAACCCCCAGCUGCUUGGCUUCUAGGGCAGAAGAAAAUUCCUAUGUGCUUUCCGAGGACAUAGAUCACAGAGCCUCUGGACAGAGGCCUAGGAAGCCAGGGAUAGAGUCAGCAUUUUUUUUUCAUAGUUUCAAAAUGUUUCCUCACCUUUGACCCUGGCUGACAAGAAACCUCAUGGAGCACUAUGGUCUUGGCGGGGGGUGAAUGAAGUUUUGAGGACUCCAUCCAGCUGCUUUUCCCAUUCUGGUGUGACUUUGGCUCACAAGUCCAAAGUCCUCAAACUGCAUGGCCAGCAUUGUCCCACAUAGCUUCCUCUGUGCUCACUCAAGUAUCCUUGCAGAAAAGGAUUGCUAAGCCCUUGCUGCUUGCCCAAAAAUAGUUCUCAACUUACUAUGUCCUGCUACAGCUCUGGGUUCAUCUCUUUGCUUUCCUACCCUGAGAUCCUACCCUGAGAAGGUGUUUGGUUUUCUGUUCUGCAAUCAGGUUUGUGUUUAGCAAAUAUAAGCUGAGAAACUACCAUAAUAUUGAAUAGCGCUGUAGGCAACAGUGGGUAUUUAACAUAGCUGUUCCCCUUCCUUCUGUCCUCCUCUUUCUCAGACCCAACUCCAGUGUGUUUCCUAAAUUCUAGACCUGGUGAACCUUCCUAUGGAUGGUUUCAGAAGCCAAACUUGACUACUCCAUGGAGAUCAGUAGGCAGCCUGACUGUGGUCAGAAAGGAGGGCUGUCCUCCUGUAUAGAGGGAAGGACAGAGGCAACAGUGGAUACAAGGCCGUGACCAGCAGCUAAAGUAAACAGGUUUUUGAUCAGACAUCCCUGAGGACUGUGACAGCCCUCUUGGGUUUGACAUGAACUGAUCUGAAGUAGGGGGAUAAGGAACCCCUACAUGGGAGGUCUUCCUACUUCAGAUCUUUAUUUCUUGGGCUGUGCCCUUAGAUAUUUUCUGUCUCAGAAUAAGAGGUACCAGCAUCUCCUUUACACAGAGGUAUGGGGUCAGAGGCAGCCUGAAAACAACUGCAAGGGCCGUGAAAUGGCCACAAGCCAUCACAUCUGUGCCAGGAAAUCCACAGUAAGUGGGGGCAGAGUGUCUUCCACCAGCUCACAGCCAGUUGCCCUAGCUUGGCUCUUCAUACCUGCACAUGUUCGCACCUUGUCACCUCAUAUCCUAGAAAACAUGGUCUCCUGGGAGCCAUGACACACCUGCAGACCGCUGGUCCAUGGCCAGGCAGGUUGGGAAGGGAUGGCCUUUUAUAUGUGCCCACCUGCACUGUGGAUGUCCUUGUAUCGAACCUGUCAUUAUGCUGACCCUGCAGAGUGUCUGCUCCACUGUCUUCAUUUGUAUGCUCAGUCAUCGUCUCAGACAGGACCACAGAAGUCUGCCUUCCCUAUCCCUCUCCUCUGGGUCCCUGUCCUUCUGUCCUGGGUCUGUCCCCUCAUUGCUAAUUCUGUCUAGCUCAUGUAUGGAAGUGUUGUGAUCUCUUAUCUGCCCCCCAAAGGAUCAUGAACUCAUUGGGCUCAUUUCAUGCCUCCCAUCCAUAUUCUGAGGGUCACGGUGACUUCUCUUCUGCGGCCAUCCUUCAUUGGCUCUGGGUUCUGAUUGCUUCAUACCUGGUGAGGCAGCUACUUCUCCAUCUCGUCUUCUGGACUCCUCAGCCUACCUCUCAUCAGGCCAUCUCAGGGCUUGGCUCUAGAUCAGGUCUCUUCUCUACCUUGCACCUCCAGAUCUGUGGUUUUGAGCCCCACCUCUGUGCUCCCCAUCCAUUCCAGCUCCAGCCCCACCUCUCUGUUCCAAGACCCACAGGGAUGUCUGCAGGGCACACUGGGUACAGAUGCCUGCACACCCUUCGACACUGUGUUCCUGGAAUGGAAUCCUUCCCUUCCCAGAUGAAGCCUACUCUAUGUCCCAGAUGUGCCAGCCAUACAUCCCUCUACCCUGAAAUUCUUGAAAUUCUUGUCUUUUACCUCCAUGUCCAGCCCAUCAGCCAUGUUGGUGACUUCAGAAAACACCUAGAAUGGAGCACAAGCAGCCUCUUUGUGUUUAUGGAGUUCAAUAUCCACAAAAUCCCAACUGGAUAGAUGCAAAAGAGACGUACCAGCCUCCAGGGAUGGCUGGGAGUCUGUGGUCGCUGUGGGACAAUGCCACGAGAAUGGACCAACGCCAAGACUUCACUGGCCCUGGCCUCUUCAUUGCCUGGGACAAACAGUAAAGCAAAAGAAAGGAUAUUGCUUUAUGAAGUUUUAAGCCUCUGUGUGAGCAGGGAGGAGAAGCAAAAGACCCUUGUGCAGCCCACUUCUCAUCUUUCACUCCCCUUCCCAGGCUGUUAUUCUACAAGGGCAGCUGUUUGGGCACACACCCAUCCACCCCCAGCGAUCCAAAUGAAGGGAUGUAUUUUCAAGAGAGUUUUGUGUCUUUGUUCCAGGAUAUAUGUGUAGCUCUCAAAAGGCAUCCAGAACAGAUGCUGGCAGGUCAUGUAGAUGACAGAGAAUGCUAUAGGUCCUACUGUGGGACCCAUGGCUGGGUCUAUAGUUAAGUCACUGAAAGGAUUGCCAUUCACACUCCCCUCACUGAUCUGCACAAAAGGGGCAAGAACGGGCUGUAACAGUGGAAUGUAAGGAAGCCAGGACUCACUCUGCAUGGUCACCUCAGGGAUCUGUGUUCAACUUGCCUCAGAGGUGCAUGCCCUCUGAACAGAGGCCUUGUCUCUAUGGCGGGUCCCACUUACCCAUCCUCAAUUCUGUUACAAGGAUCUUCUUAUUUUUAACUCUGGGCACCUGACAUCAAUCCUUAGGCCUAGCUUCAGGCUUCUUCUGAGUUCUCUGAAGUGAGUGAGCAGAGGACAAGAUUUCAGAUCCCACAAUAAAGGGUCGAUGAGUCUUCUUGUGCCAAUUCACUCAGAGCCUUGCCUGGGGCCUGAAUACAGAGAAAGCCUAUUAGAGAGAAGAGAGAUCCUAUGGUCCAGGUUGUGUUCAAGGGACCCACAUAUGUCAUGUACUACUGUCAGCCUUGGGACCGGAGUCUGUUGUUCCUGAAAGUCUCAAAGGCUUCUCUUUGUUACUAUACCACCUGUCAAGUGUACUACCAACUCCCCACGACCCCCAAAGGAGCUGCUCCAUCCAAAGCUCAACAGAAAGGAAAACCCAGUUAAAGAGCCACAUCUUGUGAUUGAUGUUACCCCAGUUUCUAUAGAUGUUGGUUGCUUUAUGUGGACCCAGAGUGGGUGGCCUGAUUGGUGGGCUUUCUUCACCCCAAUAAGAAACUCUCAAAUAAUAAGCAGUAACACUUUCCUAGUAGACAGACACACAGUGGGAAGGCAGAAGGCAUGAGUUCAGGUGGUCUGGAAACCAGAGCUUUCACAGCUGCUGACAGACAGAUGAGGUGGCAGGACACCUCAGCAGGACAGGUGGCGUGGUGACUACCGUCAGUGAUACACGCAUCUCUGCAGCCCCAGCCCUUUAACGUGAGAUCAGUACACCUACGGACAGACAUGUACACAGGAGCACUCAUGGUGGCAUAGCUCGUGAGCACGAAAGAUUGAGGGCAACUCAGAUAUAACCCCCCCUCCCCAGGUCUGCUUGAAGAAUACGGAGCUGACAGAGAAGAAUGAAGAGAGAGGUCUAUACACAUGCAGGUGGAAAGCCCUGGGACUUGAAGGGAAGGAGUAAGCUCAAAACUACGCAGAAAGUGGGGGAUAAUAAUGCAUUAGCAUCUGCUUGCAUUUAUGUGACAAGAUAGAAAGGCAAGCAUUGAGGACCAAGGGUGACAAAGGAAUGGGGGAGUUGCACAGAUCGGGGGUCCUUGGAAGUGAGGCCUCUUGCCGCAUGCAUCUUUCAACUCCCUAUGAGAAUUUGGACAAUGUGAAGUAACAUCUAGGUCAGCAGAAGGCUAGAGAUUAGACAACUCCUGAGGUCCUGGUCGUGUGUCCUCUGCUGACUGUCUUUGAAGGCUUGUUCUCAUGCUGGCUCCUCCAGAAGCUUCUAAUCAGAGCGAGCUGUGGUCCUAGCCUCUAACCCAGAGUCUGCACGUUUACUACAGUGUCUGUUUCACACAGCUUAUAUAACAGUCAUUAACCUGCUUGU